GAGAAAUGAUGAGCAUUUCAGUAUUCUUCAUAUCAUGUGAAGACGUGAGAUCCAACUCUGAGCUCACCACCUAU
rnacentral:snoRNA from 1 species